CAUGGAGCAUCUCUUCUGCCACACUCAGUUGAUUGCAAGCGAGUCAGAAACCUGCCCAGGUUCAAGGGGAAGGGACAUCCCAGGGAAGAUUGUGUGUGUUUCUGAGACACGUUUAAAACCCUCCAGAGUAGCCUAUGUAGCCAAGUCCAAACUAGGCUUCAUGUGAGUCUCCAUCAGCUUCCCUGUAAGGAGCUCCUUUAUCUUCAAUUCUUGGACCCUGAGGUACUUUGGAGGUGAUCAUGGGGAAGUUACUUAAGCGCUUCUUGGUUCCUUGGCCAUGGUUGAAUUUGAAAGCGGCAGAACUUGCGUGGGAAGCCCUCUUUCCCUUUGCUCUUUCUCCAACCCGUGACCCUCCCCCAUUGUCUGACCACUGCACCCAGCCUCUGCUUUGACAGCUGUCUUGCGGGUCCCCGGGAGUGGUCUGGCACCCUCUUGUAUGUCCUUGCAGAAUGACUUGCAUGCUGAUGAUGUGUGCCUGGCUCAGCACAGACAUCUCCCUUCAAUACCUCCGUACCAAGCCCUUGCCUUACCACGCUUUCUGCCUGAAGUUGUUCCCUGCCCCCCACCCCCCAUGGGGAGAAAGACUCAUGAGCAUGUUCCAGAAGGCAUCAAUUGGCCUGCCCUGCCUAGCACAAGGCACUUGCUCAGUCAAUGAUUGGUGAAUAAGUUAACCCUGGCUUGCAUGUGCUCUAGAUGACUCCCGGGGUCUGAUUCCAGCCUGAGUCACCAGAGGAUUCGUGGGGACUAGAGCAAAGGAGAGCCUUGCAUGUUGCCAGAAGGGAGGUAGUUCGAUAUAUGUGGGGUGCCGCUGUGCCCGUGUGUUUCGGGGGGACUGGGAGUGGGUGGUGAUGGUCCUGUGGCACGGUAUUGCAGGCUGGAGCCAGGACUUGACACGUUGGCAUUACCUGGCUCCUGCACAUCCGCCCUUUAUGAUCCCCAGUACUUGGAAACUUUUCUGGACACACUGAGAAGACUCUCCAAGAGCCAGGCUACCUGUCAAGUUUCCAGGGCCUCCGACCCCUGCUGCCUCUUCUUUUCCUCCCCAGAGUGUGUGGAUAAAGCACCAGAAUCUCUCUGGGGAAGCCUGACCUCACUUGAAAAAGGACCUGUUUGAGAGAGGUGUAUGUGUUGGUGGGGCCGGGAGGUGCCUAGACUUGUAGGGACCUGUAUCGAUGAGAGAAAUGACAAAAAUAAUCUUCUACUCAGUCAAUCCAGCUAAAGAUGCUGCAGUCCCAGGGAAAUGUUUAGGAAGGAUCUGCUUUUGUGUUUCUCAUUUAUGAAAAGCAACAACAACAAACAAACAAAGGAAAAGACUCCCAGGCUUCCUGCGGUGAGGGAGCUAUGGGUUGGGGCCCGACCCCCCGGGAGAAAGGGCUGCAGACUGACUGAAGGAGUCCUCAUUGUGGGGGAAGCGAGCUUGCUUCUUUUUCUUUCUUUUCCAUUCCCUGUGCAGACUCACAGCCCUGUGCGCUUAAUUCUCCAUGCCUGUGCAUCAGCAUUGCAGUAGACUUUUCCAUAUGCUCCUUCCAAUCUGAACAACAGCAUGGAUUGUUAUUUCCAACCUACAGAGGAAAGAACCGAGGCUCAGAGAAGUGAACUAAGUUGCCCAGAACGUAUUGCCGAUAAGUGGAUGAACCCGAUUAUUUAUUUAUUUAAUGAACAUACUAAGUUAUGCAUUGAGCUACGGAGAGAACAAAGAUGAAUAAAAUGUGUUGGUUCUGGCCAAGAAGAAAUUCAGCGUAGGAACGGAAGAUGGCAAUUAUACAACAAUAUGGUAAGUGCAAUGACAGCCGUACAUGGGGCAUGAGGCUAAGUACCAAGAGGGGCAUCUAAUGCAGCUGGGAUGCGCAGGGUGGACUUCCUGGAGGAGGUGGUGUUUGAACUGCGGACAAUAAGCGGGAGGUAGUUCCGUGAAGAGAGGCCGUGGGGUGGGGCAGAGCAUUCCAGAAAGCGGAGGCAGCACAAUCGAGGCGUGGAACUGCAAAACAGCAAGGCAGGUGGAACUAUUAACGAGUUCCAUGUUGCACUAAGGUUGGUCCAACUGGGCUUUAUCUAACUUCGAAAUGCAAGCCCUCUUCCGCUGCGCUGGACCUCCUUAACUGGUUCAUUUUGGAGGUCGUGGCUUGUAUGGUACUUCCUGGGGGCUUUGGGUGCCCAGUUUUUACUUUUAAAAGUCCCUUGUGUAAUUAACAGAGUGUGGGAGGCGUUUCCUGGCACUUCUCCACUGUGACUUCUCAGCAGGGCUUCGGGAGUACCAGGAGGUGGCCAUGCCAAAGGCUUUUGACUGAGGGAAAGUCAACCCACCGCCCAGGGUGCCAUGACUGCCCCACGACAUCUCGGAAGAAGUAGGCCAAAGAUCAUCAGGAAACAGUGGCUUCUGGGUUCACUGCCGCAAAGCAAGCUAUGGGAGUUUAUGUUCAGUAGACCACAACCACCUGGACAAAUGAUAACUACAGGUGGGAGCCUGUGCUAGUUGACCUCCCGAAGUCCCUUCCAAAAUGGUAGGUCCAUGAAGGGGACAGAGUGCACCGUUCAGAAAGGCUGGAACUUCCCAACACCCACGGAGAGAGGGACAUUGAUGACAGCUUCUUUCAAGAGCCAGUUUCUUACAUUUGUAGGAGCAAAAGGGUGGUGACCGGGACCCUCAGAGGAGAGGAGGUGAUAUGCAAGAUGUGAGGGCGCAAGAGGAGAGAAAAUCCUGGGCAGAAGAGACGCUGGGCCUUCGCGAGCGUUGCACCUUCUGACUCCAAGGGGCCUUUCAACAAAAGUGUCUACAGCUCAGGUGGUGUAGAAUUUAAAGUCGACAGUGAUCUUUCCUUCAUGUUUGGAUGGUUUUUCCUUCUGGAUUUCAGAAGCCCAUGACUGAGAUUUCAGCCUUUGAACAAACACCCACCCAGCCACACUUCAAACCACAAGUAACCACCGUGGCACUGGAGUGGUAGUUUCAUACCCAGUGUGUGGAUCCUAUCUCUGCAGGAUUCUGGUUUUAAGAAUGCCGUUGGCUGACUUCUACAGAGGAGAGUUCCAGGUUCUCGGAACGGGCUGGGACCAUGACAAA